rnacentral:rRNA from 1 species
UAGUCCACGCCGUAAACGAUGGAUACUAGUUGUUGGGAACUUGUUCUCGGUGGCGCAGCUAACGCAUUAAGUAUCCCGCCUGGGGAGUACGAUCGCAAGGUUGAAACUCAAAGGAAUUGACGGGGGCCCGCAUAAGCGGUGGAGCAUGUGGUUUAAUUCGAUGCAACGCGAAGAACCUUACCUACUCUUGACAUCUACAGAAGCCAGCGGAGACGCAGGUGUGCCUUCGGGAACUGUAAGACAGGUGCUGCAUGGCUGUCGUCAGCUCGUGUUGUGAAAUGUUGGGUUAAGUCCCGCAACGAGCGCAACCCUUAUCCUUGUUUGCCAGCACGUAAUGGUGGGAACUCCAGGGAGACUGCCGGUGAUAAACCGGAGGAAGGUGGGGACGACGUCAAGUCAUCAUGGCCCUUACGAGUAGGGCUACACACGUGCUACAAUGGUGCAUACAGAGGGCAGCGAGACCGCGAGGUGGAGCGAAUCCCAGAAAGUGCAUCGUAGUCCGGAGUUG